CAAUAUAUACUGGUGAAACUGCGAAUGGCUCAUUAAAUCAGUUAUCGUUUAUUUGAUAGUACCUUACUACUUGGAUAACCGUGGUAAUUCUAGAGCUAAUACAUGCUAAAAACCCCGACUUUUGAAGGGGUGUAUUUAUUAGAUAAAAAACCAAUGCCCUUCGGGGCUUUUUGGUGAUUCAUGAUAACUUAACGAAUCGCAUGGCCUUGCGCUGGCGAUGGUUCAUUCAAAUUUCUGCCCUAUCAACUUUCGAUGGUAGGAUAGUGGCCUACCAUGGUUUCAACGGGUAACGGGGAAUUAGGGUUCGAUUCCGGAGAGGGAGCCUGAGAAACGGCUACCACAUCCAAGGAAGGCAGCAGGCGCGCAAAUUACCCAAUCCCGACACGGGGAGGUAGUGACAAUAAAUACUGAUACAGGGCCCUUUUGGGUCUUGUAAUUGGAAUGAGUACAAUUUAAAUCCCUUAACGAGGAACAAUUGGAGGGCAAGUCUGGUGCCAGCAGCCGCGGUAAUUCCAGCUCCAAUAGCGUAUAUUAAAGUUGUUGCAGUUAAAAAGCUCGUAGUUGAACCUUGGGCCUGGCUGGCCGGUCCGCCUCACCGCGUGCACUGGUUUGGCCGGGCCUUUCCUUCUGGGAAUCUGCAUGCCCUUUACUGGGUGUGUUUGGGAACCAGGACUUUUACUUUGAAAAAAUUAGAGUGUUCAAAGCAGGCCUUUGCUCGAAUACAUUAGCAUGGAAUAAUAGAAUAGGACGUGCGGUCCUAUUUUGUUGGUUUCUAGGACCGCCGUAAUGAUUAAUAGGGGUAGUCGGGGGCAUCAGUAUUCAAUUGUCAGAGGUGAAAUUCUUGGAUUUAUUGAAGACUAACUACUGCGAAAGCAUUUGCCAAGGAUGUUUUCAUUAAUCAGUGAACGAAAGUUAGGGGAUCGAAGACGAUCAGAUACCGUCGUAGUCUUAACCGUAAACUAUGCCGACUAGGGAUCGGGCGAUGUUAUUAUUUUGACUCGCUCGGCACCUUACGAGAAAUCAAAGUCUUUGG
rnacentral:rRNA from 1 species